rnacentral:rRNA from 1 species
UACGUAGGGGGGCUAGCGUUGUCCGGAAUCAUUGGGCGUAAAGCGCGUGUAGGCGGUCCGGUAAGUCCGCUGUGAAAGUCGGGGGCUCAACCUGUGAAUGCCGCUGGAAACUGUCUGGCUAGAGUCCGGGAGGGGCGAGUGGAAUUCCUGGUGUAGCGGUGAAAUGCGCAGAUAUCAGGAGGAACACCAAUGGCGAAGGCAGCUCGCUGGAACGGUACUGACGCUGAGGCGCGAAAGCGUGGGGAGCAAACAGG